rnacentral:rRNA from 1 species
UACAGAGGUCCCGAGCGUUGUUCGGAUUCAUUGGGCGUAAAGGGUGCGUAGGCGGCGGGGCAAGUCUGAUGUGAAAUCCCGGGGCUCAACCCCGGAACUGCAUUGGAUACUGCUUUGCUAGAGUACUGGAGAGGGAACUGGAAUUUACGGUGUAGCAGUGAAAUGCGUAGAGAUCGUAAGGAAGGCCAGUGGCGAAGGCGAGUUCCUGGACAGUUACUGACGCUGAGGCACGAAGGCCAGGGGAGCAAACGGG